GCGCUCCUCCCUGAAGCCUCCAGCUUUGGCUGCUUUCCUUCUGCACACUCCCAGGUCUUGGCCCUGUCACUGCGCUGUCCCCUGUGCCUGCAGGACUCCCCUGAUGAGCCCGCCAAGGCCAUCUGCAGUUCCCAGGCCCAGAUGUGGGGUCGCUGAAACGAGGGGGUCGUGGGGUGCAGGUGGCCCCACUCAUGGCCUGCUGGGCUCAUGGUAUCCCUGAGCCACGCAUUCCAAGAGGAGCGGCCACAGCAGCCCUGGGCAGCACUGGCGCCAGCAUGCAGGGCGGAACUGUGCAUGGCUUGGAGGGGUGAGGAGAGUGACCUAGGGAAACUGCUAAACACCUCCCAAGGGUUUCUGCUGUCUUGCGCCUGAACUCACCGGUCAGCCCUCCUCAUGUGUGACUGCGGUGUCUGCACAACCAUCCUGGAAAUAACUGAGCAGGCCAAGGUGCCUCAGGUCUAGCUUUUGUGGGCGGUUAAGACUGUGUCCACCAAGAGGAAGAAAAGGAGAACCUGGCUUCCAGGUUUUGGGGCAUGGCCCUGUUACCCAAUGCUGUUUGCUCCAGAGAAGCAUGGAAACAAGAGGUCUGCAUCUGUGCCAACGGUCAUUAAUUCCUGCAGUGAAGCCCAAGCCGCAUGCUAGGGGCUCGUCUCCCGUCUUCAUGCUUCAUGCUGCACUUGCUUCUCUUCAGCCAUUUACCUGAGAGAUGCUUCCUGGUCAUGUCUCCACAGAGCAGAGGGAGCCCUGCAUAUUAGAAAAUGGCAGCGAGUUGCAGGUCAAAAAAGAGAUGAAGGUGAGAUCAGGAUGUCAACACAGGAAGGCAGAAUGUGCCCUCAGCAGGCCCCACAGGGGUAAUGCUGCAUAGACAACAGAGCCGAAAGUGUGGAAGAUAUACUGAGUACCAAAACUGAAUUUUAGAAAAUACAAAGAUAAAUUAGAACAUUGUGCUCAGUCUAUCAGGAUGCAAUUUAUUAAAGACAAAAUGUAAGUUCUUAGGUUUAAGUUCACAAAACAAGCUGUGCAAGUAUGGAGCACAGCAUGUCAGAGGAAAACCUUUCAUUUGUUUUCAGUAAACUCCAUUUGAAUCAAGACAAUGACUGUGCCCCACACUGUCUCCCCCUGACCUCUGUGUGUUCAGGCAGACAGGAUGAUGGAGGGACUGGCUCUUUCUGAUGUCUGAGGAAUCUUGGAAGUCCUGGGAACAUUUAGCCUGGAGAAGAGGAGAAUUCACAGAAUGCUGGCUGCUGUCACAAGUCUGAAGAGCUGUCAGCAAGAGGAGGGACUGACAUCAGGACCCGCAGAGGAAGAGACCUGCUUCCACCCAGUCUAACAAACAACCUCCUGGAGAAACAACCACGCAGGUGGUCAGGAGCGCAGGCUCCAAAGUGAGACAGACCUGGGCUUAAAUGCCCCCUCCACCUCCUAACCUCUGAAUAUGAGUCCCUCCUGCGUGUGAAAGAUGAGGAUGCAGCAGCUCCCUCAGAAUUCCCAAAGCAUUCGAUGAGAGGUGCACUACAGGGGCUCAGAAAUGCCAGACAAAGUCAGUGCUAGACUGUCAGCUGCUGUGAGAUUAUGAUCUCUCUUCGGCAGAGCUGCCCAGGAAGCAGUGCCUGUUUCCAGAAGAGCCUUCCAAAGUUGAGGCUCUCCAUUUCCAGUUAAGCUAAUUUAGGAAGAUUGCACAAGUGGAAACACCACAUGCGACUAACUGCAUGAUUAAUAAGAACAUGUUGACUUAAGUUCUUGAUUGCCAAAUGGAUUUUUGCCUUAUAAAUAUUUUUGAAUGGAUUAUCACUGAAAUCUUGGGGUUCAGUCAGAAGACUACUGUCUAAAUUUUUUCUGUAUUUCUUUUGGGGUCGUGAUUUGAUCCAGGGUGUGGCCAAAUCUACAUCGUUGAAUAGUUCUACGAAGCUCCCCGGGUGUUACUGGGGAUGUUGACUCAACAUUUUCAUGGUUUUCAGUUUUUAUGGUCAUUCGUGUAAAAUGGGGCUCAAGUGUUUGUCUUUUCCACUUGAAAAACUCAUCAUUGGUUUGUGGUAACUAAGUCAUUUAUUCUUCAUAGAAUGAUGCUGAGAAAGAAAAAACUGUGACAACAGUCAUGGAUAUUAAUGAAUGAGCAUGAACUUAGCCCAUUUGCAUUCUGAAGUAUGGAGCGUGGGAGAAACAGUGACUUGCUGCUCCGCAGGGGACCGUUAGCUUACUCUCCGACGUGUUUUUGCUGUUGUUGUUUCUUUCUUCGUUUUUAACAUUUUUUGGUUUAGUACUUUAUAAUGCAUAUUUUGAAUUAAAAAAUGAAUUACAGAGUGGCUAUGUCAGAAGAACUGAGGGUCUUUGGACUUUUUUUUUUUUUUAAUAAUUGCAGACUCAACUGUGAAAUUGCUGCUUACAUUUCCUUCAGAAAUAAUGAACUCCUGUGACAGUGACUUUGAAUGUGUCUUUAACACACUUGACUUAAUGAGAUCCCUUUUCUGGAGGAUAUAAAAUGUUCCCCAGAGAUGUAAUGUCACCACUAGGGGAUAAUCUAAUGUCCUAAAAGGGCUAAUUAUUUCCCCUAAAACAUUACAACAAACUCAUUACUGUAAGGACAACCCUAUGAACUCUUUAAAAGAUGAUGAAAAUGACAGCACCGAGAAGGGAGAUGGUCCUACUCUUUGGGGUAAUAAACGACAUUCAGAGUUAGAAUCCUUUGACAAUCAAAUAUUUUUUAAAACUUUUUUAAAAUUAUACUUUAAGUUCUAGGAUACAUGUGCAGAAUGUGCAGGUUUGUUACAUAGGUAUACAUGUGCCAUGAUGGUGUGCUGCACCCAUCAACCCAUCAUCUCGGUUUUAAGCCCUGAAUGCAUUAGGUAUUUCUUCUAAUGCUGUCCCUCCCCUUGCUCCCCACCCCCUGACAAGCCCCAGUGUGUGAUGUUCCCCUCCCUGGGUCCACGUAUUCUCAUUGUUCAACUCCCACUUAUGAGUGAAAACAUGCGGUGUUUGGUUUUCUGUUCCUGUGUUAGUUUGCUAAGAAUGAUGGUUGCCAGCUUCAUCCGUGUCCCAGUAAAGGACAUGAACUCAUUCAUUUUUAUGGCUGCAUAGUAUUCCAUGGUGUGUCUGUGCCACAUUUUCUUUAACCAGUCUAUCAUUGAUGGGCAUUGGGUUGGUUCCAAGUCUUUGCUAUUGUAAAUAGUGCUGCAAUAAGCAAGCA
rnacentral:lncRNA from 10 species